UGCUAACCGUUCGCUAGCUUGUAAACAAAUCCAUGUGCUUUAUCGUUACCUUUUCCCACAGUUUGAAAUCGCAUAAUGCACAAUUUCUCCAGCAGAGGGGGAAAUCCUGCCAAGUUUCCCUUUAAGAAGUCAUUGGAUGAGUCCAAUCCUAAUUUGAUCCCCUUUUUGACUUGUCACUUCAGAAUGCACAGUAAGAUGGCGGUCACGCUGAUGGCGCUUUUUCCCCCCACCUCCAAAAUGCGAGUAUUCCAAAAAUAGUGAGUGUUAAAAACUAAAGAGACAGAUGUUACUCUCCAUAGUAUGGAAGUGAAGUGUUAACAGACAUGCCUAACCAACAUUUUAGGGUUUUUUUUUUUUUUAUUGUUUGUUUAUUUGUUUGUUUGUUUUUGUUUUUUUUUCUAUGAAGAAUUCACACUUUUGGAUAGAGUGCACUGGGAAGUGAAACCCUAAUAGUAGACUGUGACACGUAUACCAGUAUCACUUCUGAUUUGAUGGAAGGUUCCCAGAAUCCCUUCUGAUUGGAUGGAAGGUUCACAGAGCUACUGCCUCUGGCUGACCAUUGGUUUUGGGCGUGUAAUUCCAAGUAUGUGGUUUAGUUGGCCCAGCUACCUGGAUGAGUUUAGUUGGCCUAGCUACCUGGAUGAGUUUAGUUGGCCCAGCUACCUGGAUGAGUUUAGUUGGCCCAGCUACCUGGAUGAGUUUAGUUGGCCCAGCUACCUGGAUGAGUUUGCUCAGACUGUGGGCCCUAACUUACAUGCUGGGCAAAGCCUGUCUAGUUUUUCUGCAUGAACCAGCAACAUCAUGUGACAUGAGGGAGCUUUCAGCUGACCCUCCUUUGUUUGUGCUUAGGAUCUUCCUCACGGUAUUAAAAUUAAUACCGUUUUAAUGUUUUUAAAGCAAGCUUUAGGUAGACGUGAGGCUUUGCCCGGCAUUAUAUUAGGGCCCUUAGAGGUAAACCACUUAAUAGAAGAACCCUGAGGUUUCAUUUACCAAAACAAAGGUGAGGGGCUCAACAUUUAGGAGGUUUACUGCUUAUCCAGAGUUGGCAUGUCCACGUUUAUCACUGAACCACACACUUGAUCUACCCACCAUGUUCUAGAUCAGAAGUUCUCAACCUUUCUCGAGCUAAGGCACACCAAAGGUCAAACCAAAAACAGAAAGACACACCAACUUCUAGUCUGAUUAUGAAGUAUUGCACGCAUUGUUAUAGACCCUUUCAACAAUAAAAACAAAAACAAUGCUUGAACGUUCUGUUUGGUUCCCAAUCUACUUCCUCUGCAUUAAGAUAACGGAAUGUUAAAACGGAAGCCUUGUGGGGCCAACUAUGACGCUGAUAGUGGAACUCUCUUCAAAGGGUCUAUAGGCGAUAACAGGGGCGCUCAUUCUCAUUUCCACAGUUUUUCUACUCCGUGUUCAUGAACUGAGACACCACAGUGAUGUGCUCACAUGCUGUUGACUGAGCUGCGUAAUAGAUCUGUAACAACUACUUUACGGCUACUUGAAACCGUUUUAAUUAAGAGCUUGUGUCAUCGAUGCGUUUAAAAUUAAGCCUGUUUCACAAGCCUGUAUAAUAGCGCAUUGGGUUCCUUAAAAUUCCACGGCACACUGGUUGAGAACCGCUGUUCUAGACUUCUGCUGCUGUUUGAGGUGCUGCGUGUGCGCUCUACCCAGUAGACGAUGGGAUGGAUUGGGUUGGGUCCGGAGUGGUACCGCAGACGUGUAGGGUCCAAUCCCGUCUGACUCCCUUGUCUCUCUUACUCCUUGGGCUGAAGAAAUCCAAAGGCCUCAUAAAACUGGAGCAACGAGAGUUUGACUGAGUUUGUUUUGUUUUUGUUUUUAUUAUUUUGUAACUGUACAUAAAUAUUAUUUUAAAUUAUAUAUAUAUAUAUAUAUAUAUACAUAUAUGUCUGCACACCCUAGCCGAUGUGUUUCUUUUUUUUUUUUAUGUCUGUCAAUGCUUGCAUUAAAGCAGAAGGAAUUGA